AUUCCUGAUGACUCCAGUUCACCUUUUUCAACUGUGGCGGAAGUUAGGCCACAGUGUUCUGUAGCCCUAUCAGUGUCCCCGAUUCCGUGGAAGCAUUCCCAUGAGCACCCUGUGCCAGCAUCGAUCGCAUGGGUCAAAGGUCACCCGUGCGGGACUUGUUAGCUGGAGGCUGCGUGCAGCACAAAGAUUUAUAAAUGAAGCUCCUGGAACCUGCUUGAAACAUAUUUGCAUAAAAUCUGCAGAGUGUGCCGGAACGGAAUAACUAGCUGUUAAUGCAGUGAUGUCACUCUCUCUUGAAUAUGGACAGUCAGAGAUGGGAUGAUUGAAAUUCACAGAAAUAGAGAUUGUUCUCUUUGUCCCCAGAGGAACUUAAUGUAGGAUAUUUUACCGAACAGAAUUGUGGGUGCCCGUAGGGUCGGUCUGACAGUAGACCCAGACAGGUGCAAAUUAAAGAGGGAAGGACAAUAGUAGAGGUUAG